rnacentral:rRNA from 1 species
GACGAACGCUGGCGGCGCGCCUAACACAUGCAAGUCGAACGAGCGAGAGAGAGCUUGCUUUCUUGAGCGAGUGGCGAACGGGUGAGUAACGCGUGAGGAGCCUGCCUCAAAGAGGGGGACAACAGUUGGAAACGACUGCUAAUACCGCAUAAGCCCACGGUGCCGCAUGGCACAGAGGGAAAAGGAGCAAUCCGCUUUGAGAUGGCCUCGCGUCCGAUUAGCUAGUUGGUGAGGUAACGGCCCACCAAGGCGACGAUCGGUAGCCGGACUGAGAGGUUGAACGGCCACAUUGGGACUGAGACACGGCCCAGACUCCUACGGGAGGCAGCAGUGGGGAAUAUUGCACAAUGGGGGAAACCCUGAUGCAGCGACGCCGCGUGGAGGAAGAAGGUCUUCGGAUUGUAAACUCCUGUUGUUGGGGAAGAUAAUGACGGUACCCAACAAGGAAGUGACGGCUAACUACGUG